GAUGAACGCUGGCGGCGUGCUUAACACAUGCAAGUCGAACGGAAAGGCUCCUGCCUGCAGGGGUACUCGAGUGGCGAACGGGUGAGUAACACGUGGGUGAUCUGCCCUGUACUUCGGGAUAAGCUUGGGAAACUGGGUCUAAUACCGGAUAUGACACUCUCUUGGAUGGGGUUGUGGAAAGCUUUUGCGGUAUGGGAUGAGCUCGCGGCCUAUCAGCUUGUUGGUGGGGUAAUGGCCUACCAAGGCGUCGACGGGUAGCCGGCCUGAGAGGGUGUACGGCCACAUUGGGACUGAGAUACGGCCCAGACUCCUACGGGAGGCAGCAGUGGGGAAUAUUGCACAAUGGGCGCAAGCCUGAUGCAGCGACGCCGCGUGGGGGAUGACGGCCUUCGGGUUGUAAACUCCUUUCGCAACCGACGAAGCUUUUGUGACGGUAGGUUGAGAAGAAGCACCGGCUAACUACGUG
rnacentral:rRNA from 1 species